GUUUCCCUUUAAACUCCAGUCAACCAUAUUAAGUCAUUAGAAGAGAGGCGGCCAUCUCUAUAUGAUAGCUAUCAGGGAAGGCUAAAAAACUACAUCAUGCCACUGAAAUAACUAAUAAUCAACACAAAAUUAGAAAAUACAUGCACCACCGUUGAGUAUAGAGCCUACACGCUAUAUGCUUUGAAAUUAGAUACAGAUAUAACUAGUUCUGCAUUCUGGUGAACGACAAGUCCAAGGGUGCCAAAAAAAGAGACAGAGCAUACCAGCAUCGACGUUCUCCAUUACAU
rnacentral:misc_RNA from 1 species